GACGAACGCUGGCGGCGUGCUUAACACAUGCAAGUCGAACGAGUGGCGAACGGGUGAGUAAUACGUGAGUAACCUGCCCUCUUUUUGGGAUCAGCCUUGGAAACGGGGUCUAAUACCGAAUAAAGGGGGAUGGGCUCGCGGCCUAUCAGCUUGUUGGUGGGGUGAUGGCCUACCAAUGCGGUGACGGGUAGCCGGCCGGAGAGGGUGAGCGGCCACAGUGGGAGUGAGAUACGGCCCAGACUCCUACGGGAGGAAGCAGUGGGGGAUAGUGCACAAUGGGCGAAAGCCUGAUGCAGCGACGCCGCGUGGGGGAUGAAGGCUUUCGGGUUGUAAACCUCUUUCGCGAGCGAACGGGGAGGUGGAGAAGAAGCGCCGGCUAACUACGUGCCAGCAGCCGCGGUAAUUC
rnacentral:rRNA from 1 species